rnacentral:tRNA from 41 species
UGGGCUAUAGCCAAGCGGUAAGGCAACGGACUUUGACUCCGUCAUUCGUUGGUUCGAAUCCAGCUAGCCCAGCCA